rnacentral:rRNA from 1 species
GACGAACGCUGGCGGCGUGCUUAACACAUGCAAGUCGAACGACGAACCCGGAGCUUGCUCCGGCGGAUUAGUGGCGAACGGGUGAGUAACACGUGAGUAACCUGCCCUUGACUCUGGGAUAACUGCUAGAAAUGGUAGCUAAUACCGGAUACGACCCUCGGUGGCAUCACCAGGGGGUGGAAAGAAUUUCGGUCAAGGAUGGACUCGCGGCCUAUCAGCAAGUUGGUGAGGUAACGGCUCACCAAGGCGACGACGGGUAGCCGGCCUGAGAGGGUGACCGGCCACACUGGGACUGAGACACGGCCCAGACUCCUACGGGAGGCAGCAGUGGGGAAUAUUGCACAAUGGGCGCAAGCCUGAUGCAGCAACGCCGCGUGAGGGAUGACGGCCUUCGGUUGUAAACCUCUUUUAGUAGGGAAGAAGCGAAAGUGACGGUACCUGCAGAAAAAGCACCGGCUAACUACGUGCCAGCAGCCGCCGUAA